ensembl:lncRNA
CAGCAGUGUUGCGUGAGUGUUUUUACUGCACAUCUUUGAUAUGAGUGCAGCGGUGUAUUAAAUUAUUUGGUGUAUGUUACAGAUAUAGCGCUCGGGGCUGUGACUCCUCCAUGUGUUACUGAUGUGAAUGUCUGCACGCUAUUCCGCACUCAUUUACUGAGCUCACGUAUCUGAGCUCACGUGUUCAAUUACAGCUGAACAUCUGCCUGGUGUCAAACUGAGUUCUACAUCAGCAGCUAACAAUAAAGUGAAAGAUUUAACAGGAAGUCAGAAAUUGUCUACAAGCUCCUCCUCCAGCCAUGUGUAGGAGGUGUGUGUUGGAGGGUGGAGGUGUGUGUUGGAGGGUGGAGGUGUGUGUUGGAGGGUGGAGGUGUGUGUUGGAGGGUAGAGGUGUGUGUUGGAGGGUGGAGGUGUGUGUUGGAGGGUGGAGGUGUGUGUUGGAGGGUGGAGGUGUGUGUUGGAGGGUGGAAGUGUGUGUUGGAGAGUGUAGGUGUGUGUUGGAGGGUGGAGGUGUGUGUUGGAGGGUGGAGGUGUGUGUUGGAGGGUGUAGGUGUGUGUUGGAGGGUGGAGGUGUGUGUUGGAGGGUGGAGUGUGUGUUCUCAGUAUGUAAGUUGGAUUUUCAGGUGAGGUUGGAGAGUAAUGUGUGUGAGUGCUCACUUUACUGAAAUAAAGCAUCACAGCUGGAACAGGCAGAUUUGCGUGCAGACAUGAACAUGAAGAACAUCUGGAGGAACCUCCACCUCUG